GUCGACUGUGUUUCACGUGGUUUAGCGUUUACUUUCGUAUAGCGCUUAGCCGCCUGUGAUUUCAGUGUGAAAUGACAAUGCGAAGAAAUGGUUGCAAGGCGAUUCCAACAUCACCAAGAGGGAACACAGGACCACAGUAUCGUCUGUUUUACCGGGAAAUCGUAAAAAAAGAGCGAAUACUGCUCAACAAGUCAUCAGACCUGACUCACUGCAUCAACACAAACAAGCCAGAACACGAAGAUGUCGCUCAGUGGGUUCUCAAGUAGCUGAAAGCAACAUCGCCAGUCACUGCACAUAACUUUGUGCCCGGCUCACCUGUGCUAGGACACCUACAUUGACACGAGCUUCACCUUCACAGCCUUUGAGAGGUACUCCGAGUUCGUGCCUACAGAUGGUCAUCGAGUCUCUGGUCUUCACUUCAAGAAUGGUGAGAAGACAUAUAUGGACCAUACCCCAACAGUGUUUCCACUAAAGCCCAGUGUUGACAGAGUUUCUCGGUACGGUUCCAGAAAAAAAAAGAGUCACAGCAAUUGGAGCCCGAGUUGGUUGAGGAUGAGGCCAUGAACGAGGCUGAAGAAAGGGCUUCGUAACCUGUUCCAUUCACAGAUGACGUGACAUCCUACCCAGAGCAGGGCAGGGAUCACAAUUACGGACUUCCACCAGAGACAAAUGAUGACCCCCGAACAAUGCUCCUUCGGCAGAGGAACAUCAUAGAACAGCUCAUAGGAAGAGAAGAGUAACUUCAGCCUUGGGCCUUCAGUACAUGACUUGCGUUUGGGAAAAGCCUUCAUGUGUUGUGACAUACACUAGAGCAUAGAGGCAACAGUAAACAUGUUUGCAGACUCCGAGACCACCCGCACUACACUUACAGGCCCCCCAGCGGAUAUUUCCAGUUGCUUUGUCAAUCACUGCCCUCACUCCAUAGGUAAGAGAGAUCUGCAUGCUUGCAAGUAUAUCGGCCCGGACCAGUGUAUCUGGGCUGCAAUGAUCUUCGAAAAACUCCAGCUCCUGAACGUGAUCAGACGUGACGAGCCGCAAGCCAUCAUCCUUGUGCUUUCCGGCUCCAUGCUUUUCAGUUUACCUACAAGAAAGCACGUCACUGAAAUGUUAAAAAUGAUACUUUCCAAUGUUUGAUAGUAUGAUACGUAUCAAGGGUCCAUAAUCCUGUAUUACAAUAAAACAGUUCUCGUACUGCG